AUUAAGCCAGUACGAAUAGAGCCCUUUUGUGACCAACAUUAUCACAAUAUUAUUAUUUCAGUCAGACCUUUUCUGCCGACAAGCACACACGCUGGAAAAUACAUUCCGAUGUGGCACUCCAGCAGGACGAGGGCCAAAGGACGAAGGGCAAGGACCAGACUCCGGCGCUCGACAACUGGCGACAGUUGGUGGCAACAGCAACAGCAAGGUUGUGGACUGGGGUCGCAAUUCAACAAACUUUGUGGAGCAUAAAUAAUGAAUAAGUAAAACAAAAAGCAAAGUGAACCCUUCAGCCGGGCGGGCAACCAUCGUCAUCAUCAUCAACAUCAUCCAACGUAGGCAACAUCCACGAUUUGGCAUAGAAACAGCAACAAAGGACGCAACAGCAGCAGCAGAAGCAGCCUGCACAACAGCUCACUAACUCGCAGACAAGUUGCACUUAGAAAUGUAACCCCAACUAAAGAGAACAUAAGUGUAUAGGCUGAAUUCGAGGGUACCGACUAUAAGAUACCCUAGUGCUGAAGCAACAAAACAUCACAAAUUGUACGUCAGAUUGUACAACAACAUAAUAGAAUACGGGUUCAACUUCUGCAUCCGUUUGUAACGACUUUAAGAUACACCAUCUGAUAUCGAACUCUCUUUAUUAUAACUAGCUGUUUAGUGUUACUCUUGAGUAGUGUGUUUUCCAAUGGUUAAAGGA
ensembl:ncRNA lncRNA:CR44170 long non-coding RNA:CR44170